GCUCUGGUGGCCUAGUGGUUAGAACGUCCGCCUCGGAUGCGGGAGAUCGUAGGUUCGAUCCACAGUCGAGUCAUACCAAAGACU